UGGGGGCCAGCCAGAGCCUACAACUCUGUGACGAACCUGUAAAUCCCUUUCUCUUUCCUUCUGGUUCUGGAAGGGGUUCUCUAACUCAGAGACACAAAGAGACCCAUUUGGACUCAGAUCCCUCAGUAAGGAAGAUGUGGCCGUGGAGAAAGAGGACCCUUUUCCAUACCCUCCCGACCUGGUAGCAGGGCCUGGGGCCAGACUGUCUAACAAGGAGCACCAGUCUACGGAUAUGAGGUCUAGAACCACUGCAACCAUUUUUGACCAUGCAGGAAGAUUCUGGAACUGCUAGAGGUUGUGGGGAAGCCCAGCAGGGUGCCUGAAGAGGAAGCCAACACCACAGAAGGCAGAGCCAAGAGGAGAAGAAGAAGUCCUCGUGAUGGCAUCAAGUCCCUGGAUCAAGCCUCACCUGAAGCCUAACCCAAUGCUGGUCUUUUUAGUGGCCUCAGCCAAUUAAAUGUUCUUUAUUAUAUAACCCAA